rnacentral:snRNA from 1 species
AUGGUCCGUUGCGGUUUUCUUC